rnacentral:lncRNA from 1 species
ACUAAUUGACACAGGCGAUAAUGAAAAGAAUAAAGAAGUUGCGUCUUCUGAAUGCAAUAAAUGAAAGCAAUGAAAAUCGAUUGUUUUUACAAAAAUUAUUAGUACUACCUCUACUUCCUCCUGAUGAUAUUGAAUUGGCAUUUUACUGGAUUCUCAGUACUACUGCACCAGUACUAUUAUUGCAGUUUAAGAAGCUAUUGAAGUAUUUUUAUAACCAGUGGAUAAGAAGAACAAGGCCAGAUGUAUAUUCUGUUUUUCUUAGAGUUUUUAGAACAAAUAACUUCUCCGAGGCUUAUAAUAAAGUAUUGGCUCUACAGUUUGGAACUCAUCCAAAUAUUUGGGAUUUUACAGAAAAAAUUGUUCUUUUACAAGAAUUAAAGCGUAUCGAGUAUGAAUCAUUACAAAACGGCAAUCGAAUAACGGAGCAAUCUCGAAGUCGUGAAACCUUAAAAAAUGAAAUUAUCCAUAGCGCUUGAGUUUUAUACCAAAACAACCAAUUUGGUAUUCCGCAAUUUAUUAACUGUGUGAGCUACUUCAUCAAUGAACUUAAAAGUGGAAGAGAUGUUGAUGUUCAACAAAUUCAUAAUUUCAUCGCUGAAAAUCCAAUUGAAAUUGAACUCGUUGUUGGUGAACAUAUCACAGACUGUACGAUGUGUUAACUAAGAAUGACGAAUCAUAUUUUUCAGCCAUGCAACCAUUGGUUUGGAUGCUUUCGGUGUGUGCAAAACAUGCGAGUCUUUCUUGCUCGCGUGCAAGCUAAUUUGCGUUGCCCAACUUGCGACAAUGUUAUAGCAUCAUUUGAACAGAUUUUUUGAAUAUUUUCUGACAUUAAUGAUUUAUUUAAAUACA